rnacentral:rRNA from 1 species
AUUGAACGCUGGCGGAAUGCUUUACACAUGCAAGUCGAACGGCAGCACGGGAGCUUGCUCCUGGUGGCGAGUGGCGAACGGGUGAGUAAUGCGUCGGAACGUACCGAGUAAUGGGGGAUAACGCAGCGAAAGCUGUGCUAAUACCGCAUACGCCCUGAGGGGGAAAGUGGGGGACCAGCAAUGGCCUCACGUUAUUGGAGCGGCCGAUGGCUGAUUAGCUAGUUGGUGAGGUAAAGGCUCACCAAGGCGACGAUCUGUAGCGGGUCUGAGAGGAUGAUCCGCCACACUGGAACUGAGACACGGUCCAGACUCCUACGGGUGGCAG